rnacentral:rRNA from 1 species
AUUGAACGCUGGCGGCAUGCUUUACACAUGCAAGUCGAACGGUAACAGGCCUUCGGGUGCUGACGAGUGGCGAACGGGUGAGUAAUGCAUCGGAACGUACCCAGAGGUGGGGGAUAACGCAGCGAAAGCUGUGCUAAUAUCGCAUGUGAUCUGAGGAUGAAAGCGGGGGACCGAGCAGCAAUGUUUGGCCUCGCGCCUUUGGAGCGGCCGAUGUCGGAUUAGCUAGUUGGUGGGGUAAAGGCCUGCCAAGGCGACGAUCCGUAGCUGGUCUGAGAGGACGACCAGCCACACUGGGACUGAGACACGGCCCAGACUCCUACGGGAGGCAGCAGUGGGGAAUUUUGGACAAUGGGCGCAAGCCUGAUCCAGCAAUGCCGCGUGCGGGAAGAAGGCCUUCGGGUUGUAAACCGCUUUUGGCAGGAACGAAACGGUGUCCGCUAAUACCGGGCGCUAAUGACGGUACCUGCAGAAUAAGCACCGGCUAACUACGUG